CAGUAGCUAUAAUAUGGCUGGCACAUGCAAUUCCCCAAAAUUUUAUUCAUACCCAAUAAAAGUUAAGGUCAUACGCCAAUUUUAUCGUAUGUAAAGUGAAUUUCACAAAAAACAUUGUUAGAUGCCAAAACUUGGCCUAUUUCAUAAAUUGGAGGACACUAUAUAAUCUAUAGAAAAUGAUCAUUUUGUAAAGUUAAAUAAUACCCAAUACAAUAAAAUUUGUCCAGAAAGUAUAAACAAUAUUUGAAGGAAAUUCCUUAAUAAUUAAGAUGAAACAAUAAAAUUGCUGGGAAACAAUGCUGUUGUUGAGCAUUUACUGACAGAAGUAGCCAAAAAGCCAGUAAUUUGAGUUACCUCCCUUGGCGUAAAAAAUGUAAAAUGAUCCGAAACUUGCAUAAAUUGUAAUUUUCGAAGAAAACAGUAUUUAUUUAGAACAUUUUUCACUUAUCUCGAUUUUUUUUACCAAGUGUAAACGUGGAAUUAUUUUUUUUUUAAUUUGAUGGUGAAAAAUAAAUAUUCAGCCCGGACCUUAUCAAAGUUUCGUGGGUAAACAGAUAUGGCUGACAAGUGAUAGAAACGUGAAGUUUUUCUAGGAGUGGUCCUUAUUUUAGGGACUUGUCAACCCUUAAUAAUUGUUCAAAAGACAUAAGUGGAUAUUCAAGAUAUUUUAAAGUUGGAACUGCGUGUAAUAUUCAACCGAGAUUGACCCCCUGCUGUACAGAUCGGGGUACUUCGAAUUCGACGUAAAAGUUUAACUGUUUAAACUAUCGUGCACGGUGCAGAUGCUUACUAGUAUGCCGAGGUCAUUGCGAUUCUUUGGGGAUUUACUGGAGGCAACCACCACUAAAUGUAGUUAUCUACUACACAAAGGAAAGUGUAAAGCAGACAGAGCAGUAAACUUCAAUGUUUCAAGGGAAAUAUUUAUUCUCGUUGGAAGUGAUUUGGAAAAUAAUUAUAGUCAAGUCACCCCUACUGCAAGCCAAUUAUCAGACUGUAUCACUCACCUGAGCUGAAGACUCAAGAGAACUUUUCUCAUAAAAAUUUGUCUGGAUUCUGUUGUCAUCAUAGUGAUCUCAGCUGAGUCCAAGAUAGGAAGAGGCUUUGGAGAGAACACAGAAUUACUACAGACAAAAGACUUGUGAAGUUAUAAGGGGAAUUGCAGAACUCAUAGCUCCACUUCAAUCUAGAUAUGUUGACAGUUAUUUCACAGAAACACUUUGCAGCUGACAAAGAUAAUCAAAUGAUGACCACUACUUUAACUCUAUGGUUGCAGCAUAUUUCAAUUUUUGAAGUGACAAAUUUUAUUCCUGUUUGUGAACCAAUAUUCAAAAGAAACACUGCUAUGGCAUUAGACAUAACUUAGAAGAGAGUGGUGGGGUGGCAAAAUAAGAUUCCAUACUGUGAAAUGUAUCAAUUGUUAAUAUACAUAUAUCAAUAUAAAUUCAGUGCCAAUUUUCAUAAUUUCUAGGGGAAAAGUUUGUUUGUAACAAAUGUCAGAAAUAUGCACUAGCUCUUUCUUUGCAAACCAUGCUACUAAGUACCAGGCAUUAAGACAUGAUUUGUUUAUUGUCAUUUGUUAAACAUAGACAGAUCCAGUGAUUUGAAAGGGGGGGGGGGGUUCCAGAAAAAUGAUCUCAAAUCUGCAUUAGGUCAUAUCCGAUGAACUGAUAAAGUAAAUAUGUUUAUUAUUGAUUGCUAGUUACAUGUAACCUUUUAUGCAUCAGUUGAAGAUACUUUAUGAACAUUUUCCGUCACUGGUAAAAUUCAACAAACAUUUUGUGUAUCUGGAAGUGGUCAAUAUAUAUUUCAACAUCAGAGUAAAUAUGCAUUAAAGCAAGUCUGCCAAUCUGAUGUAGGCAGAAAAUGGAAUAUGUUAUGUUAUUUCAUGAAUGCAAAGGGAAAUGCUUUACAAGAGAGUCAAAAAAUGUCUGGUUAAUGCUAAAUAACUAUCUAGAUGUCCCAGAGAAAAGGAGAGGGUGUGUUCUACCCCCCACCCCCCACCCCACCCCCUCGGGAUCUGCCAAUGUCAAGUUUGGAAUGUGAGUGAAUGAAUUAAGAUUCUUCAUGAUAGGCAAUUGAUUAAAAUUUGAUUUACUGAUAAUUUUAACUUCAUAUAUGUGUGUUAAUUAAUUGACUAUUAUCUCAAAUCCUGUGUCAGAAAUGACCUCUAAAAAUCAACAUUGUAAAAUUUUAUAUAAUGAAUUACAUAGGCAUUUUUUUUGCCUUUAUUAUAUAGAAUGUAUACAAAGACAUGAAAUUUAUUUCUGAAUGUUCAUAUGUUCUAGUAAUUUUUCAUGAAUUUUAAUCAUUUAAUCAUUGAUUGGUUAUAUCUACUUCAUAUUUAUUUCUAUUUAUGUAGUUCAACAAUCUUCAUUUAAGUAGUUGACCUUUUUGCACUUAUUGAAAAUUUUGAGAUUUCAGUUCAACUUUUCACCAUCAAACCUUGCUUUUCCCACUGAAUUUAUUUUUGUAACUUGAAAUACACCUCUUCAAGUUUCUGGUUAUACAUAAUUCAUUUUUUUUGAGACAUUGUAUUGGGUUUUAUGAGAUCUUAUAAUUUGACCAUUAUUUUGUAAAUUAUAUUGGUGUGAAAUAUGUGCAAUUUUAACAAUUAAUAAAUUCAUUCAUUGGAUGAAUAUACACACAAAAA